rnacentral:rRNA from 1 species
UACGGAGGAUGCAAGCGUUAUCCGGAAUGAUUGGGCGUAAAGCGUCCGCAGGUGGCUAUGUAAGUCUGCUGUUAAAGAGUGAGGCUCAACCUCAUAAAGCAGUGGAAACUACAUGGCUAGAGUGCGUUCGGGGCAGAGGGAAUUCCUGGUGUAGCGGUGAAAUGCGUAGAGAUCAGGAGAACACCGGUGGCGAAAGGCGGCUCUGG